rnacentral:rRNA from 1 species
GACGAACGCUAGCGGCGUGCUUAACACAUGCAAGUCGAACGGAAAGGCCCUGCUUUUGUGGGGUGCUCGAGUGGCGAACGGGUGAGUAACACGUGAGUAACCUGCCCUUGACUUUGGGAUAACUUCAGGAAACUGGGGCUAAUACCGGAUAGGAGCUCCUGCUGCAUGGUGGGGGUUGGAAAGUUUCGGCGGUUGGGGAUGGACUCGCGGCUUAUCAGCUUGUUGGUGGGGUAGUGGCUUACCAAGGCUUUGACGGGUAGCCGGCCUGAGAGGGUGACCGGCCACAUUGGGACUGAGAUACGGCCCAGACUCCUACGGGAGGCAGCAGUGGGGAAUAUUGCACAAUGGGCGGAAGCCUGAUGCAGCAACGCCGCGUGCGGGAUGACGGCCUUCGGGUUGUAAACCGCUUUCGCCUGUGACGAAGCGUGAGCGACGGUAAUGGGUAAAGAAGCACCGGCUAACUACGUG